UACGUAGGUGGCUAGCGUUGUCCGGAUUUACUGGGCGUAAAGAGCGCGCAGGCGGUCGUUCAAGUCGAGUGUGAAAGCCCCCGGCUCAACUGGGGAGGGUCACUCGAUACUGAUCGACUCGAAGGCAGAAGAGGGAAGCGGAAUUCCCGGUGUAGUGGUGAAAUGCGUAGAUAUCGGGAGGAACACCAGUGGCGAAGGCGGCUUUCUGGUCUGCUCUUGACGCUGAGGCGCGAAAGCUAGGGUAGCAAACAGG
rnacentral:rRNA from 1 species